rnacentral:sRNA from 1 species
GCUGGGCGCAGUGGCGCAUGCCUGGAAUCCCAGCUGCUCAGGAGGCUGAGGCAGGAGGAUCUGGAGUUCAAAGCCAGCCUCAG